GAUGAACGCUGGCGGUAUGCUUAACACAUGCAAGUCGAACGGACUCUUCGGAGUUAGUGGCGGACGGGUGAGUAACGCGUGAGAAUCUGGCUUCUGGUUCGGGAUAACAGUGGGAAACGACUGCUAAUACCGGAUGUGCCUGCGGGUAAAAGGCUUGCUGCCAAAAGAUGAGCUCGCGUCUGAUUAGCUAGUUGGUGGGGUAAGAGCCUACCAAGGCGACGAUCAGUAGCUGGUCUGAGAGGAUGAUCAGCCACACUGGGACUGAGACACGGCCCACACUCCUACGGGAGGCAGCAGUGGGGAAUUUUCCGCAAUGGGCGAAAGCCUGACGGAGCAAUACCGCGUGAGGGAAGAAGGCUCGUGGGUUGUAAACCUCUUUUCUCAGGGAAUAAGAAAGUGAAGGUACCUGAGGAAUCAGCAUCGGCUAACUCCGUGCCAGCAGCCGCGGUAAUACGGAGGAUGCAAGCGUUAUCCGGAAUGAUUGGGCGUAAAGC
rnacentral:rRNA from 1 species